ensembl:snoRNA SNORD24 Small nucleolar RNA SNORD24
UGCAGAUGAUGUGAUUUAUGAACAUUUGCUAUCUGAUGAACGCUGACGAUUGUUUCAUACCACCAAGAUCUCUGAUGCA